ACUUGUUUUCGGUCAAGGGUAUAUAAGUAGCUCCAGUCCCCUGCUAGAACCUCCAAACAAACUCUCAAGAUCCAUAGUAGGAAUGUAGGGUAGUCAAGGAAGAACUGUGGACCUUGGUGUGGGUUGGGUAACCCACUAGUU
rnacentral:snRNA from 1 species